rnacentral:piRNA from 1 species
UAGCUUUCUGUUUUAUAUUUCCUAUGGCU